rnacentral:lncRNA from 1 species
AACCUUGAAUCAUUGUAUUGUCUUGAAGCUUUAGUUAUAAAUAGAAAUUUUAGGAUAUGACUUGAAGCUUUUAGGAUAUGACUUGAACUUUUAGAAUAUGACUUAAGCCUUUUUAGGUAUGAGUUGAAGCUUUAGGAUAUAAAUUGAACUUUUUAGUUUAAGUUUAAACUCGUAGGAUAUGAAUAUAACUUCUAGGAUAUAAAUUGAACCUUGAAUCAUAUAAAUUGAACCUUGAGCCUUUUAGGUAUUAGUUGAAGAUUUAUGAUAUAAAUUGAAGCAUUUAACAAUGAGUUGAACCUUUAGGAAAUGCAUUGAAAUUUUGGUUAAUGUUUUGGAAUUUUAGAUUGCGGGAAGUAAACUGUCAGAAGAGGUUGAUGACAUUAUUAUACAUGCAAUGAAACUUCCACCAAGAAUAACUAAGAUAAAGUACCUGGCAGAAUGUGNNNNNNNNNNNNNNNNNNNNNNNNNNNNNNNNNNNNNNNNNGAUAAAGUACCUGGCAGAAUGUGCCUUUUAUUGUUAUUCUCAUUAGCGACAAUGAUGAUGAGAAGGCAAUGGCAUGUGUUUCAAAUAGUUAUGGUGUAGGAAAGAAUUUAGUAUUUCCUAAGUAGAUAAAAGAAGAGCUUAUAGAGUAAUUCUGUACUUCAUUUUCUAUCAGGAAAAGAAGUUUGAUUGAGAGAGACAAGGUUGAUAAAGACGGAAUGUGUUCCCUCGGUCCUGGCAGUUCCCAUAAAGCGGGUAUCAUAAGACUCUAUGAUGACAGAGAUUAUAGGUAGUUUUGUUCUAAAUUUUCUUUCAAGUCUGAUCCAAUAAGUUAAUGUGAUAAUUGUGAUAUUUCUUCGGAUUCAGACACUGAUUUGACCGACAAAAGUAUGGCUGAAUCCUUAUAAAUAUCACAAUAACUUGGUGGAUCAGACUUGAAAUAAAAUUUAGAACAAAACUUUGUAUAAUCUUUGUCAUCAUAAAGUCUUAUUAUCCCCGCUUUAUAGGAACUGACACAACCGACGGGAAAUAUUCCGUCUUCAUCAACAUUAUCAGUAUCAAUCAAACUUCUUUUCCCCUUGGAAAGUGAAGUAGAGAAUUUCUCUAUAACCUCUUUUAUCUACUUAGGAAAUGUUAAAUCCUAACUACACCAUCAAUUUUUUGAAACACAUGUCGUUGCCUUCUUAUUAUUAUUGUAGCCAAUGAGAUAAACAAUUGAUCAAAGACACACUCCGUCAUGCAUUGUAUCCAAGUUAUUCUCUGUAUCAAAGUUCAUCCCGAGCACGAGGAUAAUCACCAAAGCCACCAGACAACUUUAUGAUGCCAAUGAAUCAAGAUGAGCUAUUCAAUGAAACUCGUAUUGUCAAGAAGAAGAAAGAGACAGAUUCAGAAAGGAGGGUCGAGCCCCGACUUCAUACAUGU